CGAAGUUCCAUGUAAUGUCAGAUUAACGGUCAAUGUAUUUGCCAAAUAGUCAAUGAUCAUAUCACGCAAGAGUAUACAGGAUAGACGUUGCAUUAUUCUCAGUCAGUGUGAAAACCUCGUGCCGUUAAUCGAAGCUGAAACUGAUCCGCGUAAUACGACGAAUAUUUUGUUAAAAGGAAUCGAGACGCGUGGAACAAAGAUUAAGCGCGUCAUAGAGUAUUGCUUUGCUUUUCUCUAAGAACAUAAACACCGCACAAGUAUCAUUUUUACUGUCGAUUUUUUCGAUUGGAAACACCCGGAGCGUGCAAUAUUUAUUUUUGAAACUCGAGCUCGGUUUUUGAACGCGUUUUAUUACAUUUUGACUUUAAAAGCGGAAUAUGAAGUCGCGGUAAUGCGACGCGAUGCGGACGAUGCAAUUGCAAUAACGGGGCUGGGGCCAUCAACGAAACGUCGACUGUUCGUCAACCGCAAUACGCAUCAACCUCGUUACGAGACUGCCGGACAUUCUUGGCGUCGUCGCGACAGCGCGCGCGUUACCGCUGACUAAAUCAGUUACUGGCGCUGUCCACGUUUCCUGCCCGGAUAUUCCACUUCGAUAUAGAUCUGCUAGUAGCGUUGGUACCUCGGUAUUUUGCGCCGUUUCGAUUCACGACAACGGCUCUUGAUUUCCGGCGUUCGCGUAUCCACUUUUAUUCAUUUCCAUAUAUCGAUCACCUUGGCGCUUCUUCUUUCUUUUACAGGUUUACAUCGUUCUUUCUUCUUCUUCCUUCUUACUUUUAUUUUCUUCGGCCGAUACCGUGGAGGAAUGUUGGUUCGCGAACGGGAUUUUAUACGCUCGAAAUAGAGUAGAGUAGCAGAGAGUAGAUUUAGCGACAAAAUGAUAAAAAUGUAAUGAUAACAGUAACAAAAUGAUAAUAAACAACGAUAUAACUCUCUGGUAAA